UACGAAGGGUGCAACCGUUGCUCGGAAUCAUUGGGCGUAAAGCGCACGUAGGCGGCUCCACAAGUCGGAUGUGAAAUCCCUCGGCUCAACCGAGGACGUGCAUCCGAAACUGCGGAGCUUGAGUAUGGAAGAGGGUCGCGGAAUCCCCGGUGUAGAGGUGAAAUUCGUAGAUAUCGGGAGGAACACCAGUGGCGAAGGCGGCGACCUGGGCCAAUACUGACGCUGAGGUGCGAAAGCGUGGGGAGCAAACCGG
rnacentral:rRNA from 1 species